UCCUAAUUAGUACAACGGCUAGUACAUGUCGCUCUCACAAGUUCUGACUGUGGAGCGCACCGACAAGACCCGGGUUCGACUCCCGGAUUGGGAA